rnacentral:rRNA from 1 species
GUUGUCUUCUAGUCUGCGUGCAGUCGUGCGGGGUGACAAAUCCAAACCUUCGGGUGAACUUAAUGGGCGUCGAGCGGCGGACGGGUGAGUAAUGCCUAGGAAAUUGCCUUGAUGUGGGGGAUAACCAUUGGAAACGAUGGCUAAUACCGCAUAAUGCCUACGGGCCAAAGAGGGGGACCUUCGGGCCUCUCGCGUCAAGAUAUGCCUAGGUGGGAUUAGCUAGUUGGUGAGGUAAUGGCUCACCAAGGCGACGAUCCCUAGCUGGUCUGAGAGGAUGAUCAGCCACACUGGAACUGAGACACGGUCCAGACUCCUACGGGAGGCAGCAGUGGGGAAUAUUGCACAAUGGGCGAAAGCCUGAUGCAGCCAUGCCGCGUGUAUGAAGAAGGCCUUCGGGUUGUAAAGUACUUUCAGUUGUGAGGAAGGGGGUAGCGUUAAUAGCGCUAUCUCUUGACGUUAGCAACAGAAGAAGCACCGGCUAACUCCGUGCCAGCAGCCGCGGUAAUACGGAGGGUGCGAGCGUUAAUCGGAAUUACUGGGCGUAAAGCGCAUGCAGGUGGUUCAUUAAGUCAGAUGUGAAAGCCCGGGGCUCAACCUCGGAACUGCAUUUGAAACUGAUGAACUAGAGUACUGUAGAGGGGGGGUAGAAUUUC